rnacentral:rRNA from 1 species
UACAGAGGGUGCGAGCGUUAAUCGGAUUUACUGGGCGUAAAGCGUGUGUAGGCGGUUUGUUAAGUCGGGUGUGAAAUCCCUGGGCUCAACCCAGGAAUUGCUUCGGAUACUGGCGUGCUUGAGGCUAGUAGGGGUCACUGGAACUGACGGUGGAGCGGUGAAAUGCGUAGAUAUCGUCAGGAACGCCAAUGGUGAAGACAGGUGACUGGGCUAGUUCUGACACUGAGGCACGAAAGCGUGGGGAGCGAACGGG